ACCUGGCUGGCUUAGUCAGUAGAGCAUGAGACUCUUGAUCUUGGGGUUGUGAGUUUGAGCCCCAUGCUGGGUG
rnacentral:tRNA from 1 species